GACGAACGCUGGCGGCGUGCUUAACACAUGCAAGUCGAACGGAAAGGCCCUGCUUUUGUGGGGUGCUCGAGUGGCGAACGGGUGAGUAACACGUGAGUAACCUGCCCUUGACUUUGGGAUAACUUCAGGAAACUGGGGCUAAUACCGGAUAGGAGCUCCUGCUGCAUGGUGGGGGUUGGAAAGUUUCGGCGGUUGGGGAUGGACUCGCGGCUUAUCAGCUUGUUGGUGGGGUAGUGGCUUACCAAGGCUUUGACGGGUAGCCGGCCUGAGAGGGUGACCGGCCACAUUGGGACUGAGAUACGGCCCAGACUCCUACGGGAGGCAGCAGUGGGGAAUAUUGCACAAUGGGCGGAAGCCUGAUGCAGCAACGCCGCGUGCGGGAUGACGGCCUUCGGGCUGUAAACCGCUUUCGCCUGUGACGAAGCGUGGGUGACGGUAAUGGGUAAAGAAGCACCGGCUAACUACAUG
rnacentral:rRNA from 1 species